AUAAAAUUGAAAAAAAGGAAAAAUCGCGAUAUAAGUUUUCACUUCCUCCGUCCCGCGAUUAAGGGUGCUUCUGGCUCCUCUCCUUCUCCCUCUAUUUCUUCCUGUGUUUGCGUCUCUCUCGCAAACCCUUCCAUUCGAUCCAAUCCGAGAAGUCUAUCUAAAUCUUUCCUUAAUUGGCGGAAAUCUAGGGUUUUUUGUUUUUUUAUUUUUGUUUCCUUUUAUUGUCUUGUGUUGGCGAAUUGUUGAUUGGUGAUUGUUGUUGUUGGGGCGUCAGGGUUUGUGGGCGCUUGCAGAUCUGAGUAAGGUUUCGUGUUAAGUGGGCGUUUUCUUCGGUAAAUUUUAACGAUGUUUUGGCGUAUGGCAGGGCUCUCCACGGCGUCGCCGGUGGAGGCAAUUUUGGAUAAGGACAACUUUACGCUGGAGGAGCUUCUUGAUGAGGACGAAAUUAUUCAAGAAUGCAAAGCUCUGAAUGGGCGUCUUAUCAAUUUCUUGCGAGAAAGGACUCAGGUUGAGCAAUUGAUUCGCUUUAUUGUGGAAGAAGCUUCUGAGGAUGCUGAAAAGAGGCGAUCGUUCAAGUUUCCUUUCAUUGCAUGUGAGAUUUUUACUUGUGAGGUUGAUAUUAUACUCAAAACGCUUGUGGAGGAUGAGGAGUUAAUGAAUUUGUUGUUUUCCUUUCUGGAACCAAAACACUCCCAUAGCACACUGUUGGCUGGGUACUUUAGCAAGGUUGUCGUAUGUCUAUUGUUGCGGAAGACAGUUUCUUUUAUGCACUAUAUUAAGGCUCAUCAGCAAAUUCUUCAGCAGCUGGUUGACUUGAUUGGCAUUACAUCUCUCAUGGAGGUAUUAAUACGUCUGAUUGGUGCUGAUGAACAUAUGUAUAACAACUAUACGGAUGCAGUGCAGUGGAUGGAAGAAACAAAUGUGCUGGAGAUGAUUGUGGACAAGUUCAGCUCUUCUGAUUCCCCAGAGGUGCAUGCCAAUGCAGCUGAAACACUUUGUGCUAUAACGCGAUUUGCUCCCCCUGGUCUUGCUGCUAAAAUCUCCAGCCCAAAUUUCAUUGGCAGAUUGUUUCGUCAUGCUUUGGAAGAAUCACGCCCAAAGUCUGUGCUUGUUAACUCAUUGUCUAUAUGCAUAUCCUUGUUAGACCCUAAAAGGCUAACCUUGGGCACAUAUCAUACAUAUAACCGCCAACUUAAUCAUGAGUCUGCAGUAACUGUGAGUCCUGAGACGGUAGAAGGGAUGCUGGAGAGCUUAGGUGAUCUCCUGAAGCUUUUGGAUGUUUCAUCUGCAGAAAGUGUCUCGUUGACUACAUUUGGUAAAUUGCAACCGCCUCUGGGAAAGCAUCGUUUGAAGGUAGUAUUUAUUUAUUUAUUAAAAGAACCUUGUGCUUGUAUAAGUACUGGUUUCCUUAUGUUCUUUCAUUUGCUGUAAUUUUGACAUAAUAUUUGAUCAUCUCAAAUGACAUAUGGCUAGUUUGUUGGUUCGAUAGGCAACCCUUAAGUUGCCUGUUGUUUUAUUUUGAACCAAAACAAUUUAUGCUGACUACAACUUAAUUGAAAAAUUUCCUCCAGAUUGUAGAAUUCAUUUCAGUGUUACUGAUGGUUAGAAGCGAAACUGCUGAGAAGGAAUUGAUUCGUCUUGGAGCAGUCCAAAGGAUUUUAGAUUUGUUUUUUGAGUGAGUUUUAGAAUUCCUGACAUGGUAGGAAGAUUGGUUAGAUCCCGAGUUUUAUUCACUUGCUUUGUUCAACUGUAGGUAUCCGUACAAUAACUUUUUGCAUCACCAUGUAGAGAACAUAAUAUUUUCAUGUUUGGAGAGCAAGAAUGGUAUUCUUAUUGGGCAUGUUCUCCGUGAAUGUAAUCUUGUUGGAAAAAUACUUGAUGCAGAGAAGAAUUUCACAUUGGUGGCUGACCCAGGCAAGCCAACAUUUCCUGCUGAUGGUAGGCCACCACCAAGGAUAGGGAACAUUGGACACUUGACACGUAUAUCCAACAAACUUGUUCAAUUGGGGACUAACAAUGGUGAUAUUCUGGCAUGCUUGCAGGAAAAUAGUGAAUGGACUGAUUGGCAUACAAAUGUCUUAAUAAAGCGUAAUGCAGUGGAAAAUGUCUAUCAGUGGGCCUGCGGGAGGCCAACUGCUCUACAAGACCGGAGAGAUAGUGAUGAUGAUGAUUACCAAGAUAGAGAUUAUGAUGUUGCAGCCCUAGCAAAUAAUUUAAGCCAGGCAUUUCGAUAUGGCAUUUAUGGCAAUGAUGACGUUGAUGAGGCACAUGGAUCACUUGAACGAGAUGAUGAGGUAAUAUACUUUCUACAAGACAAGCAAUUUCAUGAAUAGGAGAAUUUAUCAUGCGGCUGAAGGACUGUUUUACCCUCUGGAUGGGGCUUUAUUUUGUCCUCUUCUCUUUAGCUGGGGUGAACUUAAAAGUUAUUGUGGUUUAGUUUGGGCCUAAUAAUAAUAAAAGGAUAUAUUUUUCUGUUUUUUCAAUUAUAUCCAAAAUUUUUUUUUUUUCCAGUUUUACCUCAAUUUCAAAACAUAGCUUCAAUUUAUCCAGUUGACUGAAAUUGGUUAAAAUUGAAAUAAGAAACAUUUGAUUAUUGUUGGAGUUGAGGUUGAGGUUGAGGCAGUGCAGUUAUGGGCUUGGAGGGUUGAUGAAAGGUGGAGGGACGGUGGUGUUGGGUUGAGGUUGAGGUGGUUCAAUCAUGGCUGGUAGUUUGGUAAGUGACCAAGCUCAUCUUUGACACGCAAACACAUGGGCAAAGAGAUUGAAGAAUGCGAAGUGAGGAUGGUAAAAGUAGCAAGGCUAAUGACCAUUAGACCCUACUUUGGGAGGGGAGUGCCAGAACAGUGGUGCAGGGAAAGAGAGUGGAGGGAUGGAAGAGGAAGAGAGGGAAAGGUGGAUGGAGGGAAAGAGAAGAAAAAUUAAUAAAUUAUUUUUUAAAAAAAAAAUUUGAUAUCAAUAAUAAUAAACUUUUUUAUCAUAUUUUUGACCAAUUUUAAUAAAUUGGAUACCGUGGAAGCUAAGUUUUCAAACUGGGGUAAAUUUAAAAUUAUAAAGUUUGGAUACAAUUGAAAAAUGCAAAAGGGUGGGACUUCUUCUAUUUGUCAUCUGACCUUUAGUUUACUGGAACUUGGAAGGUAGACUAGAGGCACACUAUGUUUAUGGAGUUUUUUGUCCCCCCUCUUCCUCUCUUUUCGAGCACUACAUUAUUUUUACUCAUGCCUCUUUUGAUCAUCCUUGGUAUCAUCUGUUGAUGGCUCAUGUCCAACUUCAAAGUUGGGGCUUACAAGGCCCAUUUCUUUCUUCUUAAAAAUGGAAGAAUGAGAAAAAAAAAAAGUAUUUUUAAAGAAAUUUGUUACUCAUGCCUCUACUAGACUCGGGUUGGACUUGAUCAAGUGCGCAAGAAAUAAAUUAAUAUGUAAGAUAAAUUUCUCACUGAGAUAUUUUGCAGGAUGUCUAUUUUGAUGAUGAAUCUGCUGAAGUUGUUAUUUCUUCUCUGCGUUUGGGAGAUAACCAGGAGAGUGGCUCCCUUUUUACAAAUUCCAACUGGUUUGUUUUUGAGGAUGACAGAGUUGCCAAUGAACGCUCUGCAGGAGCACUUGCCUCUCCUUCGCCUAACAAUGAAGAAACUGCUGGUGUUAAUGGUGUGGGCAAUGAUGAGAUUAUGGCUGGAGAAGAUGACGACUUGGAUGACACUGCAUCUUCUCCUGUGCCUGACCUGAGUGUAGACAAUACGUCUGUUAACAAUUUAUCUAAAGAUUUAAAAGAAAUUAGUGCAAAUGAUAAACCUCCUGUAUGGGUUGAAUGGAGGGAGACACUAGAUUGUGAUGAUCCUUCCAAACCAGAUGUAUCUCCUGUGCCAAAUGGUGAGCUUCAAGUGGACUCAGAGAAUCAGGGUAGUGAUAGUGAUCCAGAUGCAGCUAAACCUGAGGUGGGGAACCGGGAUGGUGAUACUGAUCCAGAUGCUGCUAAACCUGCAACUUCCAUGGAUGCAUUGGCAGAUGACAACAAUGCUACUGAGGAAUUGUCAAAUGAAACAAAUGAAAGCCCUACUCUCAAUCCUCCUGCAUUGUCAGAAUUGGGUAAUGAUAAUCCAAGUGUGGACCAUAGUGCUUCUGAUGAUACUGAGGCGACAGCAGGAACUGCUGAGGUCAGUAAGGAUGAACAAAAAGAUGUGGUCAAGCAAGCAGAAAACUAAAUGUAAAUUCUCAAGAGAGUCGGUUUAAUUGCCUAACUAGUACUCUGCAGCAGCAACAUUGAUAAGGAGGGAAAGAUGAAUACUGAGAGCGCUGCUGGUUGAUUAGGUGACUGUAUUUUAGAGCUUCUGUACAUCUUCGAUGGGCACUGUUAUUUAGUAGGGUUGAUUCUUUUUCCCCACCUGCAGAAAGCCUGAGCUCUCUCCCUCCAAGGGGAUGAUAAAUAGGCUCUUAUUUUCCACCUUUUAUAUCAGGCAAUGCAAUGCGUUGAUUAAUUAUUUAGCUUUUAGCUUCUCCUUGGUAUUUGAUUUAGAAACUGGCACUGUCCUGUGGUACUUGGAUUUUUUUAAGCUCGAGAACCUGUUUAUAUCCUUAAAUUUUUUUCCCUUUUCACAUGAAUGUCAAAAGUGUUGAUUAUAGAAUCUUAUCAGAGGCCUUUUUAUAUUUUUCUGUUUACAUUACAUCACAAUGGCUAAGUUAGCCAGUGUUUUCUGUUUAUUUACCUGCCCAAAUUAGUUGGAUAUCCUUAAUCAGUCUCUUAAUUUGGUUGUGUAUGAAAACUAAACUAGGUUAAUGAUAUCAAACUAAUUUAUAGA
rnacentral:misc_RNA from 1 species